UCUUCUAACUGAACAAACUCAUUUGAAAUAUGGGAAAAUGGAGUAUACAACAAAUUAGAGACUUGGCGAGGAAAAAGGAUCCAGUUAGCAACAGAGGGUCUGGAAUGCUGGAAGGAGCCAAGAGCAGAUGCCAUCUUGGUGAUGUGUUUCAUCUUCAGGACCUGAGACCCAUCUGGUCAAAUAUUUGUGUGUAUAUGCAAAAUUUUAGGUCAUUUGUUAAAAGGAGCUCAUGAAUACAUGUCCUUGACUUCCCAGAGAUGGAAAAAACACUUCUCUCCGCCAAAGAACUUCCAAAUAGUGCUUCUAGCCUAUGCUCCUCAUCAGUGUCCAUGUCUCUCAGAUGUCUCUAGUUUUGGUUGAGGAAUGAGGAAAUGUGGUUGCCUCCUUUUAUUGGCUGAUUCGUCUGCUGAGCUCCUAACUUCUUAGCUAAUCUAGGUGAAACCAACCCUUGUCCUGGACCCUGGGCUUUUGUGGAGGACUGUCUUACUGUUCACAAAUACUCCGCCUUUUCCAUGAGAAGCUAAUUUAUCCCUGCCUGUUGAAAUUGGGCAUGGACAAUGACUUGCUUGGUUGUCUAAUAAAAUGUGAGCAGAAA
rnacentral:lncRNA from 1 species